UAAUAAUUAACAUAAAUUAUAGUUGAGACUUAGAUAAGCAAAAUAUUCAUCAUUAAAACAUACCCAAAAUCCACAUCAUCCAGGAUUCAAGUUUAAGGUGCAUAGAAUUAAGAGAGUUACUCAAUAGUUACAACACAAAAAAACAUAGUUCAUCCUAACAAUGAUUACUAAUUGUUGUUUGCUCCAUUUUCAUAGUGACUUCCGUCAAAGGAUCUUCUAGGCUCAGUUGGUGACGGAACGCCAUCUCCAAGGCCAUCUCCAACGUCAUCUCCUAGAUUGGGUGCCUGCAUAACAUAACAUUGAAAUUGGAGGAACCAAAAUUCUAAUUCUUUGAAAUGGGCUGAAACAAUAUGAGGUCACAAUUGAAGAAGUGGCUGAUACAACAUUGAGGCUUGAGACACCAAAAACUUCAAUAGAACUUUCGCUCAACCAAGUAAUGUUGAAGAUAAUAAACAAAUGAAGAAGAUAGCUACGGUACAAUUACAAUAAAAAGUAUAGGGGUUGGAAGGGUGAAAAUAACAGUGGAAUUUAGGUUGAUUUGACAUGGGAUCAAGUUCCCAACCUAUGUUACAGACUUACAGUUAAAUUAGGUUGAUUUGAAACAGGAAAAUAUACAUCAUAUACAAUCACUGCUAUGUUGACCAUCAACCAAAUAUACUAAGAAGCCACCUGCAACUUACCAUGUUACACAUUCUUGAAGCAAACCACUAAAGGAUUCUCUUUAUAUAGCCAAUAUGAUAUUGUUUUUAUAGAUUUUCAGCAAAUACAUCUUCUUUUAUACUUGAGCACAGACAUUGGAUUCAAGCAAAUAAGUUGAAUAAGCAAAUAUAUAUAGAACAAAGAUAUUCAAAGUGAAAUUGUUAGACUACUGCAAUAUAUUGAGGAAAUACAAGCAAGUUAACAAAUGGAUUAUCUACUUACCCACAAAGAAAGUAAUUUCUGAAAUAAAACAACUUGUCUGGUAAAACAUUACGUAUGGCAAUUGAUAACAAGUGUUGCAUGAGAAUGUGAAAAUCAUGACUCUUCAUUGACUUGAGCUUUUGUUGUUUCAAGUCGACACAUCUUGAAAUAUUUCUAGCGUAUCCAUCAGGCAUUUUGACAUUUUUUAAAGUCCGCAAAAAUAUGUCUUUCUUAAAUCCACUUUUCUUUGAAUUUAAAAGACUGAACAAGGCUGGACGAUAACUUCCAUUCUUAUCUGCCCAAAGUUCUUUCCUUAUACCCAUUUCUCUAAGAUCAUUCCGAGCUUUAAGAUUGUCUUUUGACUUUUCAGUAUCAUUGAGCAAAGUAUGUAUCACAUUCUCACACACAUUCUCCUCAAUGUGCAUAAGGUCUAGCUUAUGACGCAACAAGUUAGAUUCCCAAUAAGAAAAUCAAAGAAUAUGCUUCUCUUUCUCCACUGUUUUGGUCCAUCUUCAGCAAUAGUUUUUCCUCGAAUUCUUUUACCUUCAGCAUUCGACUCAGAUACUUUCCCAAAACUAUUAUUGAUUCCCUCCAUUUGUUUCAAUAUGUUUGACCCUGAUAAUGCUAUUGGUGGCCCCCGUUGCUCGAUUUUCUCAUUAAAACGGACACGCUGCAAUCUAAACCGAUGGCUGCUUUCAAGAAAACGAUGAUGACCUAUGAAACACCAUUUUCUACUAUGCUUCAGCCAGCAAGAGUCUGUAUCAAAGUUACAUGUGGGACAAGCAAACUGAGUGUAUGUGUUCCAUCCAGAUAAGCUGCCAAGCCCAGGAAAAUCACUAAUUGUCCACAUCAAGGCUGCUCGCAUUUUAAGAGUCUAAUGCCUGCACUCCAUUGUACCACAAUUCUCUUAACUCUUGGAUAAGAGGUUGUAAGUACGCAUCAAUAUCACUGCUGGGCAUUUGUUUUCCUGGAGUGAUUAUUGAAAGAAUGAAUGAAGUUUGUUUCAUGCACUCCCAAGAAGGGCGAUUGUAUGAAAUAAGAACCACAAGCCAAAUACUAUAGUUUAUUGCCAUUGCUCCAAAAGGAUUGAAACCGUCACUAGCUAGGCCUAGUACAUUCCGAGGAUCUACAACAAAUUCAGGAUGAAGCAAGUCAAAUGCUUUCCAUGCUUGAGAAUCCCUUGGAUGCCUCAUCAAUCCAUCUUGGUUACCCGUAGAAGAAUGCCAUCUCAUAGACUCAGCAGUUUUAGAGCACAUGAACAAUCUCUGUAGCCUUGGCAUUAGUGGAAAGUAGCGCAAAAUCUUUGCGGGCUACUUCUUUUUAUUGUCCUUCCACCUAGAUGUCUUGCACUUUUUGCAUUCUUGUAAGCCUUCAUCUUCCCCAAAAUAUAACAUACAAUCAUUUGGGCAAGCAUAGAUCUUGGUAUAAUUAAGACCAAGUUUGUUGAUGGUUUUUUUUGGCCUCAUAAAAAGAAACAGGAAUCUUGGCAUCUUCAAAGGCAUCUUUUAACAAUUCUAAUAUCAUACUCAUCGCUUUAUCAGUCAUUCGACACAAACACUUGAUAUAAUACAAUUUGACUAGAAAGGACAAUUUGGAAUACUUCGCGCACCCUUCAUAUAAUGGUUGAUUGCCAUCUUCUACCAUCUCAUAGAACUGUGCAUAUUCUUUAUUAUGCCCUCAUUAAAUGUUUCUUCACUAUUCAUAGGCUCACAAGACACACCAGGCUCAUUGACAUUGUUCCCUAUGAACCCAAAUGCAUCGUUAAUCAUGGUUACCAUUGGAUCUUGGGGCUGCAGAGUUUCUUCUAUGACAUGUGUGCUCUGAAACGUUUGUGGCAUAGUUGGAUUUGAUUCUUCACCAUGCAAAUACCAAACUUUAUAAUUUUUUGGAAAAGGCUUACAAGUCAGGUGUUCUUCAACUACAUUUCUUCUUUGCCACUUGUUAAAACCAUAUUUCGGACACGUACACUUAAUUACACGCCCAUCAAUAGACCCAUACUCAAAAGCAAAAUUUAGAAAUUUUGUAAGCCCAUCCGCGUAUUCAAGUGUAUUUCGUGGUUUGCUAAUCCAAGAUUUAUUAAUUGGCAUGGCUAGAAAAGAAAAUAUAAAAUACAUCACAAUAUAAAAAUGAAAAAGCUAGUUCAUAGCCACUAUAUGGAAAUCAAAAGAAUAGUAAUCACUUAAUCUCACUUUUUAACUUUUGAAGAAUAAACGGAAACUAAAGCGAGAAAUAAACAAAGAAAAGAACAUGUGAAACUUAUUCAGGAAAAAACAAAAACUACAACAUCCAUGAACUAUUCAUAUCGUCAAAUUAGUUUUGUUUAUACCAUCAGCAUGCAUUAUUUGAUACGUUUUCAGUGAAGUAACUUGUCUUUAGUUCACAAAUGAGCAAUACUAGUAUUUUUUGUCAUCAAACUGUACAGCUAAUAUCAAAUUGACCAAGCAAAAGAAAAAAAAAGGAAAGAAAGAGGGAUCGUUAACGGAUUCAAAACCUAAAUCAGUGAAAUUCAAACACAUUACCUAAAUCUGAUCUCCUUACAUAAAAGCGAAAGGAUUUGGGAGAAUCGUUAAUGGAUAUAAACGUCUUACAUUACAGUGAUUUGGGGGAAUCACUUGUUUAGAGAGAACGAGUGAGAAGGUGUAGAGAGAGAGAGAAGUUGUACAGUGAUUUGGGGAAUCGCUGUUUUGGGGCUUUAGUUUACUCUGUUUAGGGCUUUUGAAUGAGAGAGAAGGUGUUUGAAAUUUUGAAU
rnacentral:lncRNA from 1 species